rnacentral:rRNA from 1 species
GGUUUUUAGAUUUAAUUAAAAAUCAAUCCUGCUCAGUGUAAUUAUAAAUAGCCGCGGUAUUAUGACCGUGCAAAGGUAGCAUAAUAAUUAGUCCUUUAAUUGAGGACUGGAAUGAACGGUUUGACUGAAUAUUUCUGUCUCAUAUUUAUAAUUUGAAUUUUAUUUUUUGGUAAAAAAGCUAAAAUUAACUUAAGGGACGAGAAGACCCUGUCAAGUUUUACAAAUUAUUCCUUAUUUUCAAAUUAAGAAAAAAAUUGUUUUACUGGGGCAGUAGAUAAAAACUUUUUAUCUAAAUAUUGUGGGUUUACCCCUAGAAAAAUCAAUAAAUUAUUAAAAAAUAAUAAAUUACUGUAGGGAUAACAGCAUAAUUUUUUUUAAGAGUUCUUAUCAUCAAAAAAGUUUGUGACCUCGAUGUUGGAUCAAAAUACCUAAUUUUCGCAGCAGUUUAAAAAGGAAGUCUGUUCGACUUUUAAAAUUUUCCG